AGAGUUUGAUCCUGGCUCAGGACGAACGCUGGCGGCGUGCCUAAUACAUGCAAGUAGAACGCUGAAGACUUUAGCUUGCUAGAGUUGGAAGAGUUGUCGAACGGGUGAGUAACGCGUAGGUAACCUGCCUACUAGCGGGGGAUAACUAUUGGAAACGAUAGCUAAUACCGCAUAACAGUGUUUAACACAUGUUAGAUGCUUGAAAGAUGCAAUUGCAUCACUAGUAGAUGGACCUGCGUUGUAUUAGCUAGUUGGUGGGGUAACGGCCUACCAAGGCGACGAUACAUACCGACCUGAGAGGGUGAUCGGCCACACUUGGACUAGACACGGCCCAGACUCCUACGGGAGGCAGCAGUAGGGGAAUCUUCGGCAAUGGGGGCAACCCUUACCGAGCAACCCCUCGUUGGAGUGAAGAAGUGUUUUCGGGAUUCGUAAAGCUCUGUUUGUAAGAAGAAGAACGUGUGUGAGAGUGAAAUUUCACACAGUACGGUAACUUACCAGAAAGGGACGGCUAACUACGUGCCAGCAGCCGCGGUAAU
rnacentral:rRNA from 1 species